UAAAACCAAGCUAGAGCAGCAAGUGGAUGAUCUUGAAGGGUCUCUGGAACAAGAAAAGAAACUUCGCAUGGACUUAGAAAGAGCCAAGAGAAAACUAGAGGGUGACCUAAAAUUGGCCCAAGAAUCCACAAUGGAUGUAGAAAAUGACAAACAACAACUUGAUGAGAAAAUAAAAAAGAAAGAGUUUGAAAUGAGCAAUCUGCAAAGC